rnacentral:rRNA from 1 species
AUACGUAGGGAGCGAGCGUUGUCCGGAAUUACUGGGUGUAAAGGGUGCGUAGGCGGGACUGCAAGUCAGAUGUGAAAUGCCGGGGCUCAACCCCGGAGCUGCAUUUGAAACUGUGGUUCUUGAGUGAGGUAGAGGUAAGCGGAAUUCCUAGUGUAGCGGUGAAAUGCGUAGAUAUUAGGAGGAACAUCGGUGGCGAAGGCGGCUUACUGGGCCUUUACUGACGCUGAGGCACGAAAGCGUGGGGAGCAAACAGGAUUAGAUACCCUGGUAGUCCACGCUGUAAACGAUGAUGACUAGGUGUGGGGGGACUGAACCCUUCCGUGCCGCAGUUAACACAAUAAGUCAUCCACCUGGGGAGUACGGCCGCAAGGUUGAAACUCAAAUGAAUUGACGGGG